rnacentral:tRNA from 1 species
CGGGGUGUAGCGCAGUUUGGUAGCGCACUUGGUUUGGGACCAAGGGGUCGGGAGUUCGAAUCUCUUCACCCCGACCA